AACCUAGCACACCUGCGGUGUGUACCUGCGGAGGGAUCAUUACCAGAGAGCCUUUUGGCACUCCAACCCAUUGUGAACAUACCUAUCGUUCCCUCGGCGGGCUCAGCGCGCGGGGCCUCCGGGCUUCCGGGCGUCCGCCGGGGACAACCAAACCCUGAUUUACUACGUGUAUCUCUGAGGGGCGAAAGCCCGAAAACAAAAUAAAUCAAAACUUUUAACAACGGAUCUCAGAUCGGAAGA
rnacentral:misc_RNA from 1 species